rnacentral:rRNA from 1 species
UGCAGUCGUACGAGAAGGUUCCUUCGGGAACUGGAGAGUGGCGCACGGGUGAGUAACGCGUGGGGACCUACCUCUUAGUGGGGGAUAACGGUUGGAAACGACCGCUAAUACCGCAUACGCCCUUCGGGGGAAAGAUUUAUCGCUAAGAGAUGGACCCGCGUUGGAUUAGAUAGUUGGUGAGGUAAUGGCUCACCAAGUCGGCGAUCCAUAGCUGGUUUGAGAGGAUGAUCAGCCACACUGGGACUGAGACACGGCCCAGACUCCUACGGGAGGCAGCAGUGGGGAAUAUUGGACAAUGGGGGCAACCCUGAUCCAGCCAUGCCGCGUGAGUGAAGAAGGCCUUCGGGUUGUAAAGCUCUUUCAGAUGCGAAGAUGAUGACGGUAACAUCAGAAGAAGCCCCGGCUAAUUUCGUGCCAGCAGCCGCGGUAAUACGAAAGGGGCAAGCGUUGUUCGGAUUUACUGGGCGUAAAGGGCACGCAGGCGGUUAUAUAAGCUAGAUGUGAAAGCCCCGGGCUCAACCUGGGAAUAGCAUUUAGAACUGUAUGACUAGAGUCUUGGAGAGGGGAGUGGAAUUCCAGGUGUAGCGGUGAAAUGCGUAGAUAUCUGGAGGAACAUCAGUGGCGAAGG